rnacentral:rRNA from 1 species
UACGUAGGGGGCAAGCGUUGUCCGGAAUCAUUGGGCGUAAAGGGCGCGUAGGCGGCUCGGCACGUCCGUUGUGAAAUCGCCCGGCUCAACUGGGCGGGGUCAGCGGAUACGGUCGAGCUUGAGCAAGCUAGGGGCAAUGGAAUUCCUGGUGUAGCAGUGAAAUGCGUAGAUAUCAGGAGGAAUACCGAUGGCGAAGGCGGGUCUCUGGGCCGAUACUGACGCUGAGGAGCGAAAGCGUGGGGAGCAAACAGG